GCCCAGGUGCUGAAAUUGGUAGACAGGCAUGGUUGAGGGCCAUGUGUUUUUUUGAACGUGCGGGUUCGACUCCCGCUCUGGGCA
rnacentral:tRNA from 1 species